GGACGGGUGAGUAAUGUAUAGGAACUUGCCUAGUAGUGGGGGACAACGUGUGGAAACGCACGCUAAUACCGCAUAAGCUCUACGGAGGAAAACGGGGGAUCUUCGGACCUCGUGCUACUAGAUGGGCCUAUAUUGGAUUAGCUAGUUGGUAAGGUAAAGGCUUACCAGGCGACGAUCCAUAGCUGGUUUGAGAGAAUGAUCAGCCACACUGGGACUGAGACACGGCCCAGACUCCUACGGGAGGCAGCAGUGGGGAAUAUUGCACAAUGGAGGAAACUCUGAUGCAGCAAUGCCGCGUGUGUGAAGAAGGCCUUAGGGUUGUAAAGCACUUUCA
rnacentral:rRNA from 1 species